AGAGUUUGAUCAUGGCUCAGAUUGAACGCUGGCGGCAGGCCUAACACAUGCAAGUCGAACGGUAACAGGAAGCAGCUUGCUGCUUUGCUGACGAGUGGCGGACGGGUGAGUAAUGUCUGGGAAACUGCCCGAUGGAGGGGGAUAACUACUGGAAACGGUGGCUAAUACCGCAUAAUGUCGCAAGACCAAAGAGGGGGACCUUCGGGCCUCUUGCCAUCAGAUGUGCCCAGAUGGGAUUAGCUUGUUGGUGAGGUAACGGCUCACCAAGGCGACGAUCCCUAGCUGGUCUGAGAGGAUGACCAGCCACACUGGAACUGAGACACGGUCCAGACUCCUACGGGAGGCAGCAGUGGGGAAUAUUGCACAAUGGGCGCAAGCCUGAUGCAGCCAUGCCGCGUGUAUGAAGAAGGCCUUCGGGUUGUAAAGUACUUUCAGCGGGGAGGAAGGUGUUGUGGUUAAUAACCGCAGCAAUUGACGUUACCCGCAGAAGAAGCACCGGCUAACUCCGUGCCAGCAGCCGCGGUAAUACGGAGGGUGCAAGCGUUAAUCGGAAUUACUGGGCGUAAAGCGCACGCAGGCGGUCUGUCAAGUCGGAUGUGAAAUCCCCGGGCUCAACCUGGGAACUGCAUUCGAAACUGGCAGGCUUGAGUCUUGUAGAGGGGGGUAGAAUUCCAGGUGUAGCGGUGAAAUGCGUAGAGAUCUGGAGGAAUACCGGUGGCGAAGGCGGCCCCCUGGACAAAGACUGACGCUCAGGUGCGAAAGCGUGGGGAGCAAACAGGAUUAGAUACCCUGGUAGUCCACGCCGUAAACGAUGUCUACUUGGAGGUUGUGCCCUUGAGGCGUGGCUUCCGGAGCUAACGCGUUAAGUAGACCGCCUGGGGAGUACGGCCGCAAGGUUAAAACUCAAAUGAAUUGACGGGGGCCCGCACAAGCGGUGGAGCAUGUGGUUUAAUUCGAUGCAACGCGAAGAACCUUACCUGGUCUUGACAUCCACGGAAGUUUUCAGAGAUGAGAAUGUGCCUUCGGGAACCGUGAGACAGGUGCUGCAUGGCUGUCGUCAGCUCGUGUUGUGAAAUGUUGGGUUAAGUCCCGCAACGAGCGCAACCCUUAUCCUUUGUUGCCAGCGGUCCGGCCGGGAACUCAAAGGAGACUGCCAGUGAUAAACUGGAGGAAGGUGGGGAUGACGUCAAGUCAUCAUGGCCCUUACGACCAGGGCUACACACGUGCUACAAUGGCGCAUACAAAGAGAAGCGACCUCGCGAGAGCAAGCGGACCUCAUAAAGUGCGUCGUAGUCCGGAUUGGAGUCUGCAACUCGACUCCAUGAAGUCGGAAUCGCUAGUAAUCGUGGAUCAGAAUGCCACGGUGAAUACGUUCCCGGGCCUUGUACACACCGCCCGUCACACCAUGGGAGUGGGUUGCAAAAGAAGUAGGUAGCUUAACCUUCGGGAGGGCGCUUACCACUUUGUGAUUCAUGACUGGGGUGAAGUCGUAACAAGGUAACCGUAGGGGAACCUGCGGUUG
rnacentral:rRNA from 1 species